UGGGGAAUAUUGGGCAAUGGGGCGCAAGCCUGACCCAGCAACGCCGCGUGAAGGAAGAAGGCUUUCGGGUUGUAAACUUCUUUUGUCAGGGACGAGUAGAAGACGGUACCUGACGAAUAAGCCACGGCUAACUACGUGCCAGCAGCCGCGGUAAUACGUAGGUGGCAAGCGUUGUCCGGAUUUACUGGGUGUAAAGGGAGUGUAGGCGGGAUUUUAAGUCAGAAGUGAAAAUUCGGGCUCAACUCGUAACCUGCUUUUGAAACUGAAAUUCUUGAGUGAAGUAGAGGCAAGCGGAAUUCCUAGUGUAGCGGUGAAAUGCGUAGAUAUUAGGAGGAACACCAGUGG
rnacentral:rRNA from 1 species